UACGUAGGGUGCGAGCGUUAAUCGGAAUUACUGGGCGUAAAGCGUGCGCAGGCGGUUCGUUGUGUCCGGUGUGAAAGCCCCGAGCUUAACUUGGGAAUGGCAUUGGAAACUGGCGAGCUGGAGUGUGGCAGAGGGGGGUGGAAUUCCACGUGUAGCAGUGAAAUGCGUAGAGAUGUGGAGGAACACCGAUGGCGAAGGCAGCCCCCUGGGCCAACACUGACGCUCAGGCACGAAAGCGUGGGGAGCAAACGGG
rnacentral:rRNA from 1 species